ensembl:lncRNA
GUCAACUAAGAGUACAGAAUAGUGUUUAGAAACCACAGUUCUCAAAUUCAUUAACCUACCAACACAAUAAUCUUUCUUUCACCUUGACAGUUAGUUUGUUUUUUACCAUAGGUAAUGAAUCCAUCGGGACACUGGAUAACUUUUUUUUGCCCGUUUUGAGGACAAUACAGUGCCACUGACACGGCCGCUACCAAAACCUGCGGACUCUCCUUCACUGCAGCCGACGUGAGUAAAACAUUUAAACGUGUUAACCCUCGCAAAGGCUGCAGGCCCAGACAGCAUCCCCAGCCGCGUCCUCAGAGCAUGCGCAGACCAGCUGGCUGGUGUGUUUACGGACAUAUUCAAUCAAUCCUUAUCCCAGUCUGUUGUUCCCACAUGCUUCAAGAGGGCCACCAUUGUUCCAGUUCCAAAGAAAGCUAAGGUCCACAGACGACGCAAUCGCAACCACACUGCCCUAACCCAUCUGGACAAGAGGAAUACCUAUGUGAGAAUGCUGUUCAUCGACUACAGCUCAGCUUUUAACACCAUAGUACCCUCCAAACUCCCCAUCAAGCUCGAGACCCUGGGUCUCGACCCCGCCCUGUGCAACUGGGUACUGGACUUCCUGACGGGCCGCCCCCAGGUGGUGAGGGUAGGUAACAACAUCUCCACCCUGCUGAUCCUCAACACUGGGGCCCCACAAGGGUGCGUUCUGAGCCCUCUCCUGUACUCCCUGUUCACGCACGGCUGUGUGGCCAUGCACGCCUCCAACUCAAUCAUCAAGUUUGAGGACGACACUACAGUGGUAGGCUUGAUUACCAACAACAACGAGACGGCCUACAGGGAGGAGGUGAGGGCCCUCGGAGUGUGGUGUCAGGAAAAUAACCUCACACUCAACGUCAACAAAACAAAGGAGAUGAUUGUGGACUUCAGGAAACAGCAGAGGGAGCACCCCCCUAUCCACGUCGACGGAACAGUAGUGGGGAGAGGGUAGUAAGUUUUAAGUUCCUCGGCGUACACAUCCCGGACAAACUGAAUGGGUCCACCCACACAGACAGCAUUGUGAAGAAGGCGCAGCAGAGCCACUUCAUCCUCAGGAGGCUGAAGAAAUUCGGCUUGUCACCAAAAGCACUCACAAACUUCUACAGAUGCACAAUCGAGAGCAUCCUGUCGGGCUGUAUCACCGCCUGGUACGGCAACUGCUCCGCCUACAACCGUAAGGCUCUCCAGAGGGUAGUGAGGUCUGCACAACGCAUCACCGGGGGCAAACUACCUGCCCUCCAGGACACCUACACCACCCGAUGUCACAGGAAGGCCAUAAAGAUCAUCAAGGACAACAACCACCCGAGCCACUGCCUGUUCACCCCGCUAUCAUCCAGAAGACGAGGUCAGUACAGAUGCAUCAAAGCUGGGACUGAGAGACAGAAGCUGUUUUUCAAUCUCAAGGCCAUCAGACUGUUAAACAGCCACCACUAACAUUGAGUGGCUGCUGCCAACAUACUGACUCAACUCCAGCUCACUUUAAUAAUGGAAAUUGAUGGGAAUUGAUGAAAAAAAUGUAUCACUAGCCACUUUAAACAAUGCCACUUAAUAUAAUGUUUACAUACCCUACAUUACUCAUCUCAUAUGUAUAUACUGUACUCUAUACCAUCUACUGCAUCUUGCCUUUGCCGCUCUGUACCAUCACUCAUUCAUAUAUCUUUAUGUACAUAUUCUUUAUCCCUUUACACUUGUGUGUAUAAGGUAGUAGUUGUGGAAUUGUGAGGUUAGAUUACUCGUUGGUUAUUACUGCAUUGUCGGAACUAGAAGCACAAGCAUUUCGCUACACUCGCAUUAACAUCUGCUAACCAUGUGUAUGUGACAAAUAAAAUUUGAUUUGACACCAUAGCUGCCAGAUUUCUGCAGGUUCCCACCUCUCCACCGAUGUCCAUCCCCAUCAUACAUUAAUCUAUAUCUGACAGAGUCAAACUUUAAAAGGCCCAACGCAGACGUUUUUAUAUCAAUAUAUUUUACGGGUAUUUUACCAGGGUUCUAUCCAACCAUUUCAUGCUAAUGAAAAAAGGUAUCAACAGGACUGAUGGAAACAGGAAAUCUGCCUAAAACUUCCAAUGUUGAAAAUAAAAAUAUACGCUAGACAGGUGAUAUAUAUAU